rnacentral:misc_RNA from 1 species
AUCAUCGCCGGGAGCGAAAACCGAUCGAAUGGAAGACAAAGAAGAGUGGAAAAUGUUAAUGGAAAAUUGCGGAUUCGAGUCAGUAAAUCUCAGCCAUUAUGCAAAAAGCCAAGCUAAAAUCCUUUUAUGGAACUACGAUUACAGCUCCGAGUAUUCAUUAAUGGAAUCCUCUGGGUUUCUCUCGUUGGCAUGGAACGAAGUCCCA